rnacentral:rRNA from 1 species
UACGGGAGGCAGCAGUGGGGAAUAUUGCACAAUGGGCGAAAGCCUGAUGCAGCUAUGCCGCGUGUAUGAAGAAGGCCUUAGGGUUGUAAAGUACUUUCAUCGGGGAGGAAAAAACAAAACUAAUAAUUUUAUUUCUUGACGUUACCCGAAAAAGAAGCACCGGCUAACUUCGUGCCAGCAGCCGCGGUAAUACGGAGGGUGCUAGCGUUAAUCAGAAUUACUGGGCGUAAAGAGCACGUAGGUGGUUUUUUUAAGUCAGAUGUGAAAUCCCUGGGCUUAACCUAGGAACUGCAUUUUGAAACUGAAAUACUAGAGUAUCGUAGAGGGAGGUAGAAUUCUAGGUGUAGCGGUGAAAUGCGUAGAUAUCUGGAGGAAUACCUGUGGCGAAAGCGGCCUCCUAAACGAAUACUGACACUGAGGGUGCGAAAGCGUGGGGAGCAAACAGGGAUUAGAUACC